GACGAACGCUGGCGGCGUGCUUAACACAUGCGAGUCGAACGGAAAGGCCCUGCUUUUGUGGGGUGCUCGAGUGGCGAACGGGUGAGUAACACGUGAGUAACCUGCCCUUGACUUUGGGAUAACUUCAGGAAACUGGGGCUAAUACCGGAUAGGAGCUCCUGCUGCAUGGUGGGGGUUGGAAAGUUUCGGCGGUUGGGGAUGGACUCGCGGCUUAUCAGCUUGUUGGUGGGGUAGUGGCUUACCAAGGCUUUGACGGGUAGCCGGCCUGAGAGGGUGACCGGCCACAUUGGGACUGAGAUACGGCCCAGACGCCUACGGGAGGCAGCAGUGGGGAAUAUUGCACAAUGGGCGGAAGCCUGAUGCAGCAACGCCGCGUGCGGGAUGACGGCCUUCGGGUUGUAAACCGCUUUCGCCUGUGACGAAGCGUGAGUGACGGUAAUGGGUAAAGAAGCACCGGCUAACUACG
rnacentral:rRNA from 1 species